rnacentral:rRNA from 1 species
AUGGCUGCCCGCAAGCGACCUGCUGCCGUCCUCGACGCCGGCCACGGCCACGCCACGGCUCAACAUCAACAAUCGCCGACGUGCUGCAAGAGGAGCCGCGCCUCCAUCGGGAGCACCGACGACUACGAGAAGGUGGCCCGCCUAGGCAAAGGCGGCUUCGGCGUCGUCCACAGGAUGCGCCACCGCGUCACCAAAAAGAACGUGGCCGUCAAGUUCCUCUCCUCCCCCGACGUCGAAGAUCUUGAGCGGGAGGCGCGGUUCCUCGAGGCCUGCGACGGAAACCCUUACGUCGUCGGCUUCGAGGGCCUGCUGUGCGACCCGGCCACCGGCGACACCGCCGGCCUCGUCAUGGAGUACGUCGAGGCGUCGAGCCUCCACUCUUUAUUGUGGGACAGGCGCAGCGACCCGCCGCUCCCGGAAUCCACGGUGCGCGACUUCAUGUGGAAGCUCCUGACCGGUGCGGAAAAGAUGCACGGGCACGACCGCCACAUCGUUCACCGUGACAUCAAGCCAGCCAAUAUCCUCGUCGGGAGAAACGGGGAGCUCGUCAAGAUUUGCGACCUCGGGCUGGCCAUGUCCAUGUCCGGCUGGCCGCCGUACAACCGGGCCGGCACGACGUCCUACAUGGCGCCCGAGAUGAUCCUUGGCAAGAAGGACUACGACGCGCAAGUGGACACGUGGUCCAUCGGCUGCGUCUUUGCCGAACUGCUCACCGGCAAGACGAUGUUCAAGGGCUACCUCGAAGAUGACGACGAAGACAAGACGAAGAAUGACAUAAGGCAGCUGUGGAGCAUCUUCUGUGUGCUCGGGAUGCCGGACGAGAGGACGUGGCCAGGGUUCACCUCGCUGCCGCUCACCGCCGAGGCGCUGAGACGGCUGCCGGCGGGGUGCAAGUACAGCCGGCUGCGGUAUUCUUUCCCUGAAGACAAGCUAUCCGAGGAAGGAUUUCAGGUGUUGCAAGGGCUCCUCACAUGCAACCCCGAGAAGCGGCUGACGGCAGCCGCCGCGCUGAAGCACCCAUGGUUCGAUGCUCCUCGUUCCGCCGCUGCCGCCGCCGCCGCUGCGAAGGUCGACGCUCUGUCGUUUCCGAAAAAGAAGACACCAAGGAUCAAGUUCAUCCCGCCGGCCAUGCCCCAGAAGAAUCUACUCAAAAUCCCACUGGCCGUGUGGAACGCAGCGCAAAGAGUGUAA